rnacentral:tRNA from 1 species
GCCAGAGUGGUGUAGUGGUUUGACCAUUGGACUAUGACUCUGAAGACCAGGGAUCAAAUCCCGCUUCAGCCA